CCAUGAUCAUCUUGUCACCGGCUUGACACCAUGAUCUCCAUCAUCAUGAUCUCCAUCAUCGUGUCUUCAUGAAGUUGUCACGCCAACGACUACUUCUACUUCUAUGACUAACGCGUUUAGCAAUGAAGUAAAGUAGUUUACAUGGCGUUCUUCAAUGACACGCAGGUCAUACAAAAAAUAAAGACAACUCCUAUGGCUCCUGCCGGUUGUCAUACUCAUCGACAUGCAAGUCGUGAAUCCUAUUACAAGAACAUGAUCUCAUACAUCACAAUUCAUCAUUCAUCACAACUUCUGGCCAUAUCACAUCACAUGAUCAAUCGCUGCAAAAACAAGUUAGACGUCCUCUAAUUGUUGUUGCAUCUUUUACGUGGCUGCGAUUGGGUUCUAGCAAGAACGUUUUCUUACCUACGAAUCACCACAACGUGAUUUUGUCAACUUCUAUUUACCCUUCAUAAGGGCCUUGUUCAUCGAAUCCGCUCCAACUAAAGUGGGAGAGACAGACACCCGCCAGCCACCUUAUGCAACUAGUGCAUGUCAGUCGGUGGAACCGGUCUCACGUAAGCGUACAUGUAAGGUUGGUCCGGGCCGCUUCAUCCCACAAUACCGUUGAGCAAGAAAAGACUAGUAGAGGCAAGUAAGAUGACAAGAUCCAUGCCCACAACAAAUUGUGCUCUACUCGUGCAUUAGAGAACUACGCAUAGACCUAGCUCAUGAUGCCACUGUUGGGGAACGUUGCAGAAAAUUAAAAAUUUUCCUACGGUUUCACCAAGAUCCAUCUAUGAGUUCAUCUAAGCAACGAGUAUUGGGAGAGAGUUUGCAUUUACAUACCACUUGUAGAUCGCGUGCGGAAGCUUGCAAGGUGAUGAUGGAGUCGUACUCGGACGUGAUUCAGAUCACCGAUGUCCAAGUGCUGAACGGACAGCACCUCCGCGUUCAACACACGUACGGGACGAGCGACGUCUCCUCCGUCUUGAUCCAGCAAGGAGGAAGGAGAGGUUGAGGAAGACAGCUCCACCGGCAGCACGACGGCGUGGUGAUGGUGGAGACGCAGUACUCCGACAGGGCUUCGCCAAGCGCUCGCGGAGGAGGAGAGGUGUUGGGGAGGGGAGGGGCUGCGCCUUGGAGAUGGGUGCUGCAGCCCCCCUCCCUCCCCCCUUUAUAUAGGCCCCCUGGGGGGGGGCGCCGGCCCCUGGAGAUCCAAUCUCCAAGGGGGGGCGGCGGCCAAGGGGGUGGAGUGCCCCCCAAGCCAAGUGGGGCGCCCCCCCCACCCCUAGGGUUUCAACCCUAGGCGCAGGGGUGGGCCUAGGGGGGCGCACCAGCCCACUAUGGGCUGGUUCCCCUCCCACUUCAGCCCAUGGGGCCCUCCGGGAUAGGUGGCCCCACCCGGUGGACCCCCGGGAUCCUUCUGGUGGUCCCGGUAUAUUACCGGGAGACCCCGAAACUUUCCCGAUGGCCGAAAUACCACUUCCUAUAUAUUAUUCUUUACCUCCGGACCAUUCCGAAACUCCUCGUGGUGUCCGGGAUCUCAUCCGGGACUCCGAACAACAUUCGGUAGUCACAUACUAGUCUUCCUAAUAACCCUAGCGUCACCGAACCUUAAGUGUGUAGACCCUACGGGUUCGGGAGACACGCAGACAUGACCGAGACGACUCUCGGGCAAUAACCAACAACGGGGUCUGGAUACCCAUGUUGGCUCCCACAUGCUCCUCGAUGAUUUCAUCGGUUGAACCACGAUGUCGAGGAUUCGAUCAAAACCCUGUAUUCAAUUCCUUUUGUCAAUCGGUACGUUACUUGCCCGAGACUCGAUCGUCGGUAUCCCAAUACCUUGUUCAGUCUCGUUACCGGCAAGUCACUAUACUCGUACCGUAAUGCAUGAUCCCGUGGCCAACACCUUGGUCACCUUGAGCUCAUUAUGAUGAUGCAUUACCGAGUGGGCCCAGAGAUACCUCUCCGUCAUACGGAGUGACAAAUCCCAGUCUCGAUCCAUGUCAACCCAACAGAUACUUUCGGAGAUACCUGUAAUGCACCUUUAUAGUCACCCAGUUACGUUGUGACGUUUGAUACACCCAAGGCACUCCUACGGUAACCGGGAGUUACACGAUCUCAUGGUCGAAGGAAGAGAUACUUGACAUUGGCAAAGCUUUAGCAAACGAACUACACGAUCUUUUAUGCUAUGCUUAGGAUUGGGUCUUGUCCAUCACAUCAUUCUCCUAAUGAUGUGAUCCCGUUAUCAACGACAUCCAAUGUCCAUAGUCAGGAAACCAUGACUAUCUGUUGAUCACAACGAGCUAGUCUACUAGAGGCUCACUAGGGACAUUUGUGGUCUAAGUGUUCACACGUGUAUUACGAUUUCCGGAUAAUACAGUUAUAGCAUGAACAAAAGACAAUUAUCAUGAACAUUGAAAUAUAAUAAUACUUUUAUUAUUGCCUCUAGGGCAUAUUUCCAACAGUCUCCCACUUGCACUAGAGUCACCAAUCUAGUUACAUUGUGAUGAAUCGAACACCCAUAGAGUUCUGGUGUUGAUCAUGUUUUGCACGUGAGAGAGGUUUAGUCAACGGAUCUGCGACAUUUAGAUCCGUGUGCACUUUGCAAAUCUCUAUGUCUCCAUCUUGAACAUUUUCACGGAUGGAGUUGAAACGACGCUUGAUGUGCCUGGUCUUCUUGUGAAACCUGGGCUCCUUGGCAAGGGCAAUAGCUCCAGUGUUUUCACAGAAGAGUUUGAUCGGCCCCGACGUAUUGGGUAUGACUCCUAGGUCGGUGAUGAACUCCUUCACCCAAAUCGCUUCAUGCGCUGCCUCCGAGGCUGCCAUGUACUCCGCUUCACAUGUAGAUCCCGCCACGACGCUCUGCUUGCAGCUGCACCAGCUUACUGCUCCACCAUUCAACAUAUACACGUAUCCGGUUUGUGACUUAGAGUCAUCCAGAUCUGAGUCAAAGCUAGCGUCGACGUAACCCUUUACGACGAGCUCUUCGUCUCCUCCAUAAACGAGAAACAUGUCCUUUGUCCUUUUCAGGUACUUCAGGAUAUUCUUGACCGCUGUCCAGUGUUCCUUGCCGGGAUUACUUUGGUAUCUUGCAACCAAACUUACGGCAAGGUUUACAUCGGGUCUGGUACACAGCAUGGCAUACAUAAUAGAUCCUAUGGCUGAAGCAUAGGGGAUGACACUCAUCUCUUCUUUAUCUUUUGCUGUGGUCGGUGACUGAGCUGAGCUCAAUCUCACACCUUGUAACAUAGGCAAGAACCCUUUCUUGGACUGAUCCAUUUUGAACCUCUUCAAAAUCUUAUCAAGGUAUGUGCUUUGUGAAAGACCUAUGAGGCGUCUCGAUCUAUCUCUAUAGAUCUUGAUGCCUAAUAUAUAAGCAGCUUCUCCAAGGUCCUUCAUUGAAAAACACUUAUUCAAGUAGGCCUUAAUGCUGUCCAGAAAUUUCGUAUCAUUUCCCAUCAAGAGUAUGUCAUCUACAUAUAAUAUGAGAAAUGCUACAGAGCUCCCACUCACUUUCUUGUAAACGCAGGCUUCUCCAUAAGUCUGCAUAAACCCAAACGCUUUGAUCAUCUCAUCAAAGCGAAUGUUCCAACUCCGAGAUGCUUGCACCAGUCCAUAAAUGGAUCACUGGAGCUUGCAUACUUUGUUAGCGUUCUGAGGAUCGACAAAACCUUCCGGCUGCAUCAUAUACAGCUCUUCCUUAAGAUGUCCGUUAAGGAACGCCGUUUUGACGUCCAUCUUCCAUAUCUCAUAAUCAUAGUAUGCGGCAAUUGCUAACAUGAUUCGGACGGACUUCAGCUUCGCUACGGGAGAGAAUGUCUCGUCGUAGUCAAUCCCUUGAACUUGUCGAUAACCCUUAGCGACAAGUCGAGCUUUAUAGAUGGUAACAUUACCAUCCGCGUCCGUCUUCUUCUUAAAAAUCCAUUUAUUUCCUAUCGCUCGCCGAUCAUCGGGCAAGUCUGUCAAAGUCCAUACUUUGUUUUCAUACAUGGAUUCUAUCUCGGAUUUCAUGGCUUCAAGCCAUCUGUUCGGGCCUGCCAUCGCUUCUUCAUAGUUCGAAGGUUCAUUGUUGUCUAACAACAUGAUUUCCAUGACAGGGUUGCCGUACCACUCUGGUGCGGAACGUGUCCUCGUGGACCUUCGAAGUUCAGUAGUAACUUGAUCCGAAGUACCUUGAUCAUCAUCAUUGUUUUCCUCUUCAGUUGGUGUGGGCAUCACAGGAACGGUUUCCUGCGCUGCACCACUUUCCCGUUCGAGAGGUAGUACUUCAUCGAGUUCUACUUUCCUCCCACUUACUUCUUUCGAGAGAAACUCUUUUUCCAGAAAGCAUCCGUUCUUGGCAACAAAGAUCUUGCCUUCGGAUCUUAAGUAGAAGGUAUACCCGACAGUUUCCUUAGGGUAUCCUAUGAAUACGCAUUUUUCCGACUUGGGUUCGAGCUUUUCAGGUUGAAGUUUCUUGACAUAAGCAUCGCAUCCCCAAACUUUUAGAAACGACAGCUUAGGUUUCUUUCCAAACCAUAAUUCAUACGGUGUCGUCUCAACGGAUAUAGACGGUGCCCUAUUUAAAGUGAAUGUAGCUGUCUCUAGAGCGUAUCCCCAAAAAGAUAGCGGUAAAUCGGUAAGAGACAUCAUAGACCGCACCAUAUCCAAUAGAGUGCGAUUACGACGUUCGGACACACCGUUUCGCUGAGGUGUUCCAGGCGGCAUGAGUUGUGAAACGAUUCCACAUUUUCUUAAGUGUGUACCAAAUUCGUGACUUAAGUAUUCUCCUCCACGAUCUGAUCGUAGGAACUUUAUCUUUUGGUCACGUUGAUUCUCCACCUCAUUCUGAAAUUCCUUGAACUUUUCAAAGGUUUCAGACUUGUGUUUCAUUAAGUAAACAUACCCAUAUCUACUCAAGUCAUCAGUGAGAGUGAGAACAUAACGAUAUCCUCCGCGAGCCUCAACGCUCAUUGGACCGCACACAUCGGUAUGUAUGAUUUCCAACAAGUUGGUUGCUCGCUCCAUUGUUCCGGAGAACGGAGUCUUGGUCAUUUUGCCUAAGAGGCAAGGUUCGCAUGUGUCAAAGGAUUCAUAAUCAAGAGAUUCUAAAAGUCCAUCAGCAUGGAGCUUCUUCAUGCGCUUGACACCAAUGUGACCAAGGCGGCAGUGCCACAAGUAUGUGGGACUAUCGUUAUCAACUUUACAUCUUUUGGCAUCCACACUAUGAACAUGUGUAAUAUUACGCUCGAGAUUCAUUAAGAAUAAACCAUUGACCAUCGGAGCAUGACCAUAAAACAUAUCUCUCAUAUAAAUCGAACAACCAUUAUUCUCAGACUUAAAUGAGUAGCCAUCUCGUAUUAAACGAGAUCCAGAUACAAUGUUCAUGCUCAAACAUGGCACUAAAUAACAAUUAUUAAGGUUUAAAACUAAUCCCGUAGGUAAAUGUAGAGGCAGCGUGCCGACGGCGAUCACAUCGACUAUGGAACCAUUCCCGACGCGCAUCGUCACCUCGUCCUUCGCCAGUCUCCGUUUAUUCCGCAGCUCCUGCUGUGAGUUACAAAUAUGAGCAACGGCACCAGUAUCAAAUACCCAGGAGUUACUACGAGUACUGGUAAGGUACACAUCAAUUACAUGUAUAUCAAAUAUACCUUUAGUGUUGCCGGCCUUCUUAUCCGCUAAGUAUUUGGGGCAGUUCCGCUUCCAGUGACCCUUCCCCUUGCAAUAAAAGCACUCAGUCUCAGGCUUGGGUCCAUUCUUUGACUUCUUCCCGGCAACAGGCUUACCGGGCGCGACAACAUCUUUGCCGUCCUUCUUGAAGUUCUUCUUACCCUUGCCCUUCUUGAACUUAGUGGUCUUAUUGACCAUCAACACUUGAUGUUCUUUCUUGAUUUCAGCCUCUGCUGACUUCAGCAUCGAGAACACUUCAGGAAUGGUCUUUUCCAUCCCCUGCAUGUUGUAGUUCAUCACAAAGCUUUUGUAGCUUGGUGGGAGCGACUGGAGGAUUCUGUCAAUGACCGCCUCAUCUGGGAGGUUAAUAUUCAGCUGGGUCAUACGGUUGUGCAACCCAGACAUCUUUAAGAUGUGCUCACUGACAGAACUGUUCUCCUCCAUCUUACAACUGUAGAACUUGUCGGAGACAUCAUAUCUCUCAACCCGGGCAUGAGCUUGGAAAACUAGUUUCAGCUCUUCGAACAUCUCAUAUGCUCCGUGAUGCUCAAAACGCUUUUGGAGCCCCGGUUCUAAGCUGUAGAGCAUGCCGCACUGAACGAGGGAGUAAUCAUCAACACAAGAUUGCCAAGCGUUCAUAACGUCUUGGUUCUCUGGGACGGGAGCGUCACCUAGCGGUUCGUCUAGGACAUAUUGUUUCCUGGCAGCUAUGAGGAUGAUCCUCAGGUUCCGGACCCAGUCCGUAUAGUUGCUGCCAUCAUCUUUCAGCUUGGUUUUCUCUAGGAACGCGUUGAAGUUCAUGUUGACAUUAGCGUUGGCCAUUGAUCUACAAGACAUAUUUGCAAAGGUUUUAGACUAAGUUCAUGAUAAUAAAGUUCUAAUCAAAAUUAUGAACUCCCACUUAGAUUAGACAUCCCUCUAGUCAUCUAAGUGUUACACGAUCCGAGUCGACUAGCCCGUGUCCGAUCAUCACGUGAGACGGACUAGUCAUCGUCGGUGAACAUCUUCAUGUUGAUCGUAUCUUCCAUACGACUCAUGUUCGACCUUUCGGUCUCCGUGUUCCGAGGCCAUGUCUGCACAUGCUAGGCUCGUCAAGUUAACCCUAAGUGUUUUCGCUGUGUAAAACUGUCUUACACCCGUUGUAUGUGAACGUAAGAAUCCAUCACACCCGAUCAUCACGUGGUGCUUAGAAGCGACGGACUGUAGCAACGGUGCACAGUUAGGGGAGAACACUUCUUGAAAUUUUGUAAGGGAUCAUCUUAUUUACUACCGUCGUCCUAAGUAAACAAGAUGCAUAAACAUAAUAAACAUCACAUGCAAUUAUAUAGUUGUGACAUGAUAUGGCCAAUAUCAUAAAGCUCCAUUGAUCUCCAUCUUCGGGGCUCCAUGAUCAUCUUGUCACCGGCUUGACACCAUGAUCUCCAUCAUCAUGAUCUCCAUCAUCGUGUCUUCAUGAAGUUGUCACGCCAACGACUACUUCUACUUCUAUGACUAACGCGUUUAGCAAUGAAGUAAAGUAGUUUACAUGGCAUUCUUCAAUGACACGCAGGUCAUACAAAAAAUAAAGACAACUCCUAUGGCUCCUGCCGGUUGUCAUACUCAUCGACAUGCAAGUCGUGAAUCCUAUUACAAGAACAUGAUCUCAUACAUCACAAUUCAUCAUUCAUCACAACUUCUGGCCAUAUCACAUCACAUGAUCAAUCGCUGCAAAAACAAGUUAGACGUCCUCUAAUUGUUGUUGCAUCUUUUACGUGGCUGCGAUUGGGUUCUAGCAAGAACGUUUUCUUACCUACGAAUCACCACAACGUGAUUUUGUCAACUUCUAUUUACCCUUCAUAAGGGCCUUGUUCAUCGAAUCCGCUCCAACUAAAGUGGGAGAGACAGACACCCGCCAGCCACCUUAUGCAACUAGUGCAUGUCAGUCGGUGGAACCGGUCUCACGUAAGCGUACAUGUAAGGUUGGUCCGGGCCGCUUCAUCCCACAAUACCGUUGAGCAAGAAAAGACUAGUAG
rnacentral:lncRNA from 1 species